AUUGAACGCUGGCGGCACGCCUAACACAUGCAAGUCGAACGGUGAACGAGGGAGCUUGCUCCCUCCGGAUCAGUGGCGAACGGGUGAGUAACACGUGAGCAAUCUGCCCUGGACUCUGGGAUAAGCGUUGGAAACGACGUCUAAUACCGGAUACGAGGCGUGGGGGCAUCCCCAACGCCUGGAAAGAACUUCGGUCCAGGAUGAGCUCGCGGCCUAUCAGGUAGUUGGUGAGGUAAUGGCUCACCAAGCCUACGACGGGUAGCCGGCCUGAGAGGGUGACCGGCCACACUGGGACUGAGACACUGCCCAGACUCCUACGGGAGGCAGCAGUGGGGAAUAUUGCACAAUGGGCGAAAGCCUGAUGCAGCAACGCCGCGUGAGGGACGACGGCCUUCGGGUUGUAAACCUCUUUUAGCAGGGAAGAAGCGAAAGUGACGGUACCUGCAGAAAAAGCACCGGCUAACUACGUGCCAGCCGCCGCCGUAAGAC
rnacentral:rRNA from 1 species